UACGUAGGGUGCAGGCGUUAAUCGGAAUUACUGGGCGUAAAGCGUGCGCAGGCGGUUUGCUAAGACAGGUGUGAAAUCCCCGGGCUUAACCUGGAAACUGCGCUUGUUACUGGCAGGCUUGAGUGUGGCAGAGGGGGGUGGAAUUCCACGUGUAGCAGUGAAAUGCGUAGAGAUGUGGAGGAACACCGAUGGCGAAGGCAGCCCCCUGGGCUAACACUGACGCUCAUGCACGAAAGCGUGGGGAGCAAACAGG
rnacentral:rRNA from 1 species